rnacentral:rRNA from 1 species
GUACGCUGGCGGCACGCCUAACACAUGCAAGUCGAACGCAGUAGCAAUACUGAGUGGCAAACGGGUGAGUAUAAUGUGGGAAUCUGCCUUUUGGUUUGGAAUAACACGGGGAAACUUGUGCUAAUACCGAAUAAGCCCUUACGGGGAAAGUUUUAACGCCGAAAGAUGAGCCCGCACUUGAUUAGCUAGUUGGUAAGGUAAAAGCUUACCAAGGCAACGAUCAAUAGCUGUUCUUAGAGGAAGACCAGCCACAUUGGGACUGAGACACGGCCCAGACUCCUACGGGAGGCAGCAGUGGGGAAUCUUGCACAAUGGGGGAAACCCUGAUGCAGCGAUGCCGCGUGAGUGAAGAAGGCCCUUGGGUUGUAAAACUCUUUCGUCGGGGAAGAAAAUGACUGUACCCGAAUAAGAAGGUCCGGCU